UUUGCGAGGCACGCGACGGGAGCCUUGAGGAGCUUUCCAUGCUAAAGCGCCUCUAAACCCAGGUCUCACUUGGAGAUCGAUCUCACUCGGAGAUCAUGAGUCUGUUGUAGAGUGGCGUCAUUUUACGUCCAGUCCACCGAACCAGUGUGCACAAUUGCUGGCGGUGGAUACCAGACUCCCCCCACGGGUCGUCAUGUGCGAGGCAAGGUCGGGGAUAAGAUAUCACGGCAGCAAUUGAAGAUAAAAUUGAGAUUCUUUAUGUAAAUGCUAUUAGGCUGCUACAUUUGCACAAUGAGUGAGUGCAAAGCUUCUCUUUAAUUGAUAUUUUUCAUUAUUCAAGCAUACUAUUACCUAAUACGUCUGAGUCUACAUUCACUUUAUCCACGAAAAUGCUUCAAAAUCGCGUUUUUCGUCGGUAAAUAGCAUUGUAACCUUGCGUCAGUUGACACACGCUUUCACUGCCGCAUCCGGACUCUCAGUGCAUAUUUGUCUAUGCAUCAUGAGCUUAAGUAUUGUUUCCUUUUUCGUUAGAUCAAGCUUCAACUUCUAGCGCUUAAUCGCUCAUGCCAAGCAAAGUUUGCGGACUUGUUAAAGGUUAAAAGAAAAUAUAUUUCCUUCAACAGAUGUCUAUAAAAUGAGGCUGCAAAUGAGCGGUUUUCUUCUGGCAAUUAUGGUACUAUAGCACGUUGCUGAUGGAAGGCGGUCAAGAAAAAGAUUAUUUGCAGUUGUGCCUCAUCGUCACUUAUUUGCCAAAUGAAAUUUUAAUUGCUGCUGUUAUCCCCGGCUAUAGUGUCUACGGUGGCGAGCUUUCUCCGCGGACCUUCAACUUCAAGACCUUCUACUUCAAGACCUUCAACUUCUAAACAACUAAAGGGAUAUUCUCAUACUGCACUGUCCAUGACGUGCAUGUCGGGUCAUCGACAUGCAUGUUCAAUACCAUUAGUGCACAUGCUGCACCAGACUAUAUUUACGGACGUUGACUGUUUGCUUUAGGCACUGUUUCAAGCAUUGUACGAUGGCCGAUAACAAAAGUAUUUGUUAACGUUUUCAAGUUCCAUUCGGAGUAUCCGAAACUACGACGCAAUGUUAGUCGGAACUAACGUAUCUAGUUAAUCAUGUUAUCGCAUGAUGUUCUUGCUCAUUGGCAAACAUUAUUUCAGCAGUCGAUACGUCCUCCAAACUUCAGUAACUGUUACUAUAUGGUCCCCGUUCGUCACAAACGACCGUUGACAUUUUGUCAACCUCAAAUUCGAAUAUAUUAACCGUUUACACGCACGAGAAUAUCCCUUUAUCCAAACUAGCAAGUGUGUCUACUGUUUUCUUACUAGGCAAACAAAAGUUUGUCACAGCAUGUGCGCAGUUCACUUUACCUAUGUGCAUUCAUACUAAAAGCCAUUCGUCCACAAGCAAGUUAUUUAUUUGGGCUAUUGACGUAAGCUUUCAUGAAGGCCAAACCAAUGCUGAUUCGUCAAUGCUGAUUGUCAGCUUGAAAGUAAAGAUGAGCAAAGUGGUUCAACUGAAUCUUAUGGUUGCAGUAGGGCAUAUUAGAAGUAAGUGACAAGUAUGUGUCAGCAAUUGUUUAUGCUUCUUAACCCUAGAUACUUUUGAUUCAAUCCUUUUGGUGAUGACGUAAUGUGGCAGAAAACAGUAGACACACUUCAUCUCAUCGGAAACCCUGAAUGAUUGGUAUUUGUGAGCAUGUGUGCCUGUUAGUGUGUAAGGGUGGAUGUGGGUGUGUGGGUAUGUAUGUGCGUAUGUGAGAGUGUGCGUGUCAUCUUACACGUAAUUUAGUGAAUGAGUGAAUUGGUACUAGUUUUCAAGUAAAUACGUGCAUGAGGGCGUGUAGUCAGUGGUGUAUGGAACUAGCAUUGUGCCUGCCUGCUGCCAACGAAAUAUGCAAGCCCACACAGAGAAAACAGUUUUAUUGUGCAAAACUACAUGCUGCUGGCAGGGUUUACAUGCAAGUCACAUAUUGCAGGUCUACCAUAAGCAGAGCGAUGUGACAUCUGAUAAGUACCUAACUCACAGCAACACAUACUCUGCAUGUCCAGGGAAAGUGAGUUGUGCUCGGAACAGAUUGGCCAGACAGUUUUGUCCUAUCAAAUUCAGAAUUGUUUCAUCCUCCUCACAGUUGCCAUUAACAUCAUGAGCACACAUUAUUGCUAGAUCUGAAUGCCAGCUGCCUAUUGCACCGCUGGCACGUAGUUUGAGACAAAGAUGCCGCCAGUUUUCCACCUCGCUGCUGAUACAAUGCAAUACUGCUACAAAAUGUCCGUGUUCUGUGUUUUUAGUGUUGUAUGUUUGUAUAUGAGUCUUGCGUCGUGUGAACAUUACCUACAUGAGUUUAAAGUGUUCCCGCGAAAGUAGGUACUGAAUUAGCUCAAGCCAGGAUUGCGUUGCGGAUAUAUUUGUAGGCCAUACAAUGUUUUAUGGCGUCAUUUACGACAUUUCCUGUUUUUCUUGUCGUUGUAUGCACGUGAGUUGUGCCGCAUGUUGCGCUUGUAAAUCAUGUUCUCAAUGUCAUUUUCUUUUGGUACAAUUGGUCACCACUACACAUCACUCGCAUACACUCGCCCAAGCAAGUCGGAUAUCAAUCACUGUCCAGAAGUGCAUGAUGCAUUCAACCACGCAUAGAACACUGGCACACCAAGAACAUGAACUCACGCAAAAACGAGAGGGCUAUCACACGACUUCGCAUUGGACACACCGCUAUCACACACAACUACAUCAUCACAAGAAGCCCGAGACCGAAAUGCAACACCUGCAACACUUUCAUCACUGUCAAACAUCUGCUACUCACAUGCCCACAAUACCAACACCACAGGACACACAUACAAACAUACUGCAGAGACGCCAACAUCCCACUAACACUCACAACACUGCUCGGGGACUUACACCCCGAGCUAACAACACUACUCAUCCACUAAAGACACAACACUGGGCUGAUCAAUGACCUGUAAAUCUCCUCCCCUAGAGCCAAGGACAAAAAAGCCAAAAAAGCCAAAAAAAAAAAGCAAAAAAGAAAAAAAAUAUUCAAAACAAUGAGAAUCAAAAUAAAAGACCCCAGAAUGGCAAAAUGGCAAAAAAAAAAAACAAAAAAAAAUAAUAGAAGGGGCAAUCCGGCUACCCGGGAGGAGAUAGCUAGGAACCCAGUCCCACCCCUCAGCCCACCCUUACGAGCCAAGAAGACAACGGACACUUCAAGGCAACGGACGGACCAACAACGAAGACGGACGACAGAACCGGGCCCAAAUACAGGACGCUGUGGUGGCCCGUAAGCUACAAAUACCAUACCAUACCAUACCAGUGCAUCAUGCAGCAGAAUAAGCUUCAUUGAACACACUCGUCAUCAUGAACGGCAUCUAGGAGUUUCAUGAGUUUGGAUCUGUGACCAGCUGAUUUCGCAGUAUCCAAUGGCAACCGUGUAUGACCAGGCGCCGCUUGGACGCCUUGUCCAGUCACGUCUUCUGGGACUGUGUGAUGACUGCCUCUGCAUUCUCAAGUGCCAGUUUCUGCCUCCGGCCCAUUUCAUUAUCAAAGGAUGCUGUUAGCUUAACGAACAGCUCUGCUCCAAGAUUCCAAACGGUUUUACGGUACUGUAUGCCUACAAAACGUUAAUAUUUUUUGGAGGCGGUAAUACUCGGAUGAACUGACCUUUAUGGGUGGGUAUUCAACGUUGAAUAAAGUAGGCUUGUAGCCCUCUGCCUAUUGACUUCUAAGGGUUUUAGUAAUAUUUAUCGAAUAUCUCAUCUGAAAUGCAUUUUCACUCACAGUCGUCGAAAUCGAAAAAUCAUAAGCUUAGAAAUCCGCGGACUUGACAUAUUAUAUUUUAUCGACGAUUCGUUUCGACUUGCUGUCAUGUCAGCUAAUCAUCCGUUGCUUCUCCUAUUUUCACAGGUGCAUUACCAGUCAUCUUUACCGUCGAUACCGUUGAAGAUUUUACCGUCGAUCACGGAGCACCCAUUGCGCUGGCCGUUGCUGGCACUUUUUUAUUUGUCACUAGCUAUUAGUUAUCUGCAGAUAUACAUUAGCCACCUGUACACCCGCUUACACUAGGUCUCAUCAUCUAGUUCUACAUAUGUGUGUGUGUUUGUUUUAAUUGUAUUGCCAAUGAAUUCGGUAGACAUGCUCCGCCCGCAAACAUGUACCACAUGAUGCAGUUCACUGAAUGUAGCAGUUAAUCACUCGUAAAAAGCGGUCAUGUUUUCGUAUAGUGUAGGUAUGCAUCUAUGUAAGCAUGUGUUCACACUCAUGAGCGAUCCACACAUGAUAUUGCAUUUCCUGUUCAGUUAUAUUUUUAGCACUGGAACACGAUGCUCAUACACUGUGUUGUUAUCUUUCUUUUUUCGCCUGCUCCUUCCUCCAACUUGUGUCUUUGAGUAUUUCAGUCACAUGCUCAAACGUUCUUAAAUGCUCUCGCCAUCGGUUUACGGAUGCGUUGAAAACGGACAUGUGAUGACCAAAUUUAACAAUAUGCGGACAAUGGAUCGACUUCUUGAAGCCUGUGGACGUGAUACACCUUCUCCAUCACCAUCAAGAGAUCAACAUUUUCGAAGACACUUGCGUACGGCUGCAGUGUCCGGCGCAAUGCUGAAUGCGACCUGUUAUCUGUUGGAUCUACUCUGUGAGCCCGAACCCCAGUGCAAAUCCCGAAAGAAGAUAACUGCUUGUUUUCUUCACCGCCACCAGUCUACCUGCUCUCUGCACACUCGGCAGAGCGCGGCAGGGCACCCCACGGAGCUGCACUAGUCACAUCCGGGCCCCACGCCGGUCGACGGCCGAUGCGAUGGAGGCACUACUCCGAGGCACUACUGGGAGGCCUGCGGCGCGGACGACGGAUGCGGCAGUUGGUCAAGACACGGCAGCCUACUCGAGGUGCUUCUCGCCUGGAGGACGCAGGCGAAUCGCGUUAUCCUAGCUGUGCCUCGUCAUGGUGCGAUGAGCCUUAAUAGACUAAUGCAUAUUCUUCCUUUGGUUGUAAUUCAUUUGCUGCUGCCCGCUGGGCUAAGGAGUAACUCUGUGCGCCUACUUUGUGCAGACGCUCGUCCAGUGCCGCCCUUCGUUUGCCGCACAUAUCUUUAUUUAUUCUUUGUUACAAUUCCGUCUUUGGUCAUUUUUUUUUUACCAUGGGGGCACUUGAAAGUUUUGUUUUUAAAUCUGUGGACAUUGAACCUGGAAUCGGUUUUUUGUCGGAUUUCGGUUUUGUUUUUGCACUGUGGAAAUAUCUCGUUCAAUAUUUUUUUAAGAUAGGGCGUGUUAAAACUUUUAGUCUCAUUACUCCUCUGUGCAUUCUAAAGUACUAUAAUGUGCAUCUCAAGUGUUUGGUGCUGUACUGUUAUUAUUUAUGGUUAAUCCAGUGCUGAUUUAUGGUUAAUCCAGUUUUUAUUCGAUUGAAUCGUUGUGUGUAAUGUGCAUGACAUCCGCGUACCGCCUGUAGCAGUGUUAUAUAUUUUCAUUUAUGCUGGAAAAUAAUAACUUUCUUGUUCA